AUUUCAUACGUUACAUUAGAACAGUCCCAUAGUCUCCUACAUAAACCUCAAGAGAGGUUAUCUUCGUUUGUUUCUUCAGAGUACUCUCUCAAGCUACUAGAUUUUAGUUGGUAUAUUGAAGACCUACCAUCCAUCUCAGCCCCGGAGGAGUCGAUAGAGAAAAUUAACCCUGUACGAGUAUUUGGUAGGACUUUAUUGUUCCAGUGCACGUCCGUAUCUUCAUUUGCAUGCCGUUCAUACAAUGAUCUGUGAAACGGGGGUAACAACUGUCAAAACCAAAUUGUGAUUACUGUGGCACCUGUGGUACACAAUACUAUGGUGGUUCUGAUCCAUUUAAGUUUUAUUCGGUUAUUUUAUUAUUUUCAGGAUGCUAUUACUACAUGUGAUGAAUGUUUUUUGAAGGUUUGUUGUUAACCAUCAACUAUUCUUCUGUAGCAUCCUCUGAGUAGUGCUAAGAAUUUGUU